GAUGGAGACGGAGGCGGUGGCGAUUGGUAAAUAUAGGGUGGCGGAGGGGAUGAAGACGGAGGAGGUGGCGAUUGGUAUAAGUAAGGUGGCGGAGGAGAUGGAGAUGGAGGCGGUGGCGAUUGAUAAACAUAGGGUGGUGGAGGUGAUGGAGAUGGAGGCGGUGGCGAUUGAUAAACAUAGGGUGGUGGAGGUGAUGGAGAUGGAGGCGGUGGCGAUUGAUAAACAUAGGGUGGUGGAGGU
rnacentral:misc_RNA from 1 species